GAUCUCGUAGCUCAGUUGGUAGAGCAUUUGACUUUUAAUCAAAGGGCCGCAGGUUCGAGUCCUGCCGGGAUCACAA
rnacentral:tRNA from 4 species